CUCUACUGUAAACGGUUAUGUGUGAGGUGAAGUCUACUGUAAACUGUUAUGUGUGAGGUGAAGUCUACUGUAAACUGUUAUGUGUGGGGUGAAGUGUACUGUAAACUGUUAUGUGUGGGGUGAAAUCCACUGUAAACUGUUAUGUGUGGGGUGAAGUCUACUGUAAAAUGUUAUGUGUGGGGUGAAGUCUACUGUAAACUGUUAUGUGUGGGGUGAAGUCUACUGUAAACUGUUAUGUGUGGGGUGAAGUCUACUGUAAACUGUUAUGUGUGGGGUGAAGUCUACUGUAAACUGUUAUGUGUGGGGUGAAGUCUACUGUAAACUGUUAUGUGUGGGGUGAAGUCUACUGUAAACUGUUAUGUGUGGGGUGAAGUCUACUGUAAACUGUUAUGUGUGAGGUGAAGUCUACUGUAAACUGUUAUGUGUGAGGUGAAGUCUACUGUAAACUGUUAUGUGUGGGGUGAAGUCUACUGUAAACUGUUAUGUGUGAGGUGAAGUCUACUGUAAACUGUUAUGUGUGAGGUGAAGUCUACUGUAAACUGUUAUGUGUGGGGUGAAGUCUACUGUAAACUGUUAUGUGUGAGGUGAAGUCUACUGUAAACUGUUAUGUGUGAGGUGAAGUCUACUGUAAACUGUUAUGUGUGGGGUGAAGUCUACUGUAAACUGUUAUGUGUGAGGUGAAGUCUACUGUAAACUGUUAUGUGUGGGGUGAAGUCUACUGUAAACUGUUAUGUGUGAGGUGAAGUCUACUGUAAACUGUUAUGUGUGAGGUGAAGUCUACUGUAAACUGUUAUGUGUGAGGUGAAGUCUACUGUAAACUGUUAUGUGUGAGGUGAAGUCUACUGUAAACUGUUAUGUGUGAGGUGAAGUCUACUGUAAACUGUUAUGUGUGAGGUGAAGUCUACUGUAAACUGUUAUGUGUGAGGUGAAGUCUACUGUAAACUGUUAUGUGUGGGGUGAAGUCUACUGUAAACUGUUAUGUGUGAGGUGAAGUCUACUGUAAACUGUUAUGUGUGGGGUGAAGUCUACUGUAAACUGUUAUGUGUGGGGUGAAGUCUACUGUAAACUGUUAUGUGUGAGGUGAAGUCUACUGUAAACUGUUAUGUGUGAGGUGAAGUCUACUGUAAACUGUUAUGUGUGAGGUGAAGUCUACUGUAAACUGUUAUGUGUGGGGUGAAGUCUACUGUAAACUGUUAUGUGUGGGGUGAAGUCUACUGUAAACUGUUAUGUGUGGGGUGAAGUCUACUGUAAACUGUUAUGUGUGAGGUGAAGUCUACUGUAAACUGUUAUGUGUGGGGUGAAGUCUACUGUAAACUGUUAUGUGUGGGGUGAAGUCUACUGUAAACUGUUAUGUGUGGGGUGAAGUCUACUGUAAACUGUUAUGUGUGGGGUGAAGUCUACUGUAAACUGUUAUGUGUGGGGUGAAGUCUACUGUUAUGUGUGAGGUGAAGUCUACUGUAAACUGUUAUGUGUGAGGUGAAGUCUACUGUAAACUGUUAUGUGUGAGGUGAAGUCUACUGUAAACUGUUAUGUGUGGGGUGAAAUCCACUGUAAACUGUUAUGUGUGGGGUGAAAUCCACUGUAAACUGUUAUGUGUGGGGUGAAGUCUACUGUAAACUGUUAUGUGUGAGGUGAAGUCUACUGUAAACUGUUAGGUGUGGGGUGAAGUCUACUGUAAACUGGGGCAGAUGGAGACGUACUUACCUUCUCUAUUACAAGCCCUGUCUUGGCACAUCAUGU